UCACAGCAGGAUCACCUGAUUAGGGAAGUGUCGUAGUGUGAUCUCAUUUUAGCAUUUGUUAGGAGCGUGAACUUUACCAGUUAAUUUAUCAAUAUUAGUAAGAUAAAUAACAUCAUGCAUGUGUCUGGUAUGUUUUUAUCCCCAGGCUCCUAAAGUUAUUAUGUCUCAACAUUAUGAUGCUAAGGCAGACCUGUGGAGCAUAGGAACAGUGAUAUAUCAAUGCCUAGUUGGAAAACCACCUUUUCAGGCCAAUAGUCCUCAAUACCUCAGGAUGUUUUAUGAAAAAACAGGAGCUUAAUGCCUAGUAUUCCCAGAGAAACUUCACUUUACUUGGCUAAUCUCCUCUUGGGUUUGCCUCAGAGAAACCAGAAAGAUAGAAUGGACUUUGGUAAGUAAUAUUUUCAAAUUCUGUGUGCUUUCUAAUUUGAUUUUUGUGUAU